UUUUCAUUUUUCUCUGUUCGUUUUUCUUUCUUCGUUUUCUUGGUUUCUCCCGCUCUUCGCUUUCUUCCUUUUCUGGAUAUCUGCCGUUCUUCGCUAUUGUUUUCUGCCAUUUUUUAACCCUUGGUGGCUUAUCUUUUGUUAAUCUUUGUGUUUGCAGGUGUGGAGCCAUUUUUCAAAGGAAAAAUUCAUCGGCCGAUGAAGGUUAUUUAGCUUGGUGGGUUGGGUUAUACGGAUCUUCAGCUUGGUCAAUGUAAUUUCUCCUGAUUGUUUUGGGUAUCUGAGUAAGAUUGGGAAAGAAAAGGAGAUUGUGGAACUUUCAUGGUUGAGUUCCAGCACUCUAUACGUAUUCUGCCAUGUAGCAUGUACUCAUGCAAUUCCAACUUUUCUACAAGCUCGAUACAGGGAAAUGAACCUUUCUGUUCAAUAAAAAGUUUUUCUUUGCAUCUGGACCACUGCAUUUUAAAAGUGUUAAGGGGUGUCUUUAUGCUGGGAUCAUCAUAGCUUACGCAUCUUUUCAACCUUUAAAGUCCUUCAGGGUGGUGUUCUGAUUUUUCAUUCCUUCUCAUCACUUCUACAAGAGGAAAUUCCAUGUGCUCAAAACCCAAUUCGAUUCCGUUGCUAAGAGUUUGCUGAGCAAGUCCCUGUACAGAAACAUGGUUGGAGUCGUUGGUUCUAUGUGGGUUCUGGGCAGCAGCUACUUUUUCUUUGUUUUGGAUUUGUAAGAAGAUACAUGCUCAGAUUCCAUUUCUGCAAUUAAAGAUUGCUUAAAGAAAAGUUCUACCAAAACUUUGCCUACACUAUCCAUCUCUGUUCUCCGCUGUCCAUCACCCCACAGACAAAAACUGGUUCGAGCUUCAAUCAACUUCUUGGGAUUAAAGGAGCUUAUCAAGAAACUAUGAUGCUAGAAAGUCCCACACACCAACAAUGGUGCCUUAAGUAGAGCUCUAUGCACCCCAGCAAUCGGAUGAAACUAUAUAUAUGAAUUAUGAAGAUGUUGUUGGGUCAGGGAAGGAGUGGAUGGAAGAAUGACUGACCAUAUAGUGGGCACCAAAGUUCAGUUAUACCCAAAGCGAUUACUUUCAUAAAAGGUUUGUAAAUCAAACAUUAUACUGAGAAAUUAGAUUAAACUUUUCAUUGAAACAUGUUAUUGCUGGUUGUGUAAAUUUUAUUUUUCAGGUUUGGAUGGAAGGAUUAUGAUGGAGAGUCCCGAUCAUAAUUAAUCAAUGAUGCCACCAUCAGUUGAAUCUGCAACCACGAUGUCCAUGGGAAACAGGGAGUCUGAUUGGGGAAAGUUUUUGAGUCAAUUCAGGGAAAUUGAGAUCAGUAGAACCACCUUUGAGGUCUAUAGUUGCUGCAUCUUAAGCUUGAUCUGCUAUUUCAGUUGUUGGAGCAAGAAGAAUGUUACCCCCAAUGAUUACCUUUUUAAAAAAAGAAGAGCAAUUUGGUUCUGCUUCAAACCUACGAGGAAGUUCCUCUGAUCUAUUAGGAUUUCGAAAAAGUGGGAUUUUUGAGAGGGACUGGUGGAUCUCUGAAAAGGAACUUGGUGGAAAUUCCUUAUAACACUGUUCAGCCUCAGAAGUUGUGAAUUAUAUGCAGAUGGUUGACAAAUUGGAUGAUGAAACCAUGGCAAUAGAACUUGGUCUAGCUGAUUUUAAAGAGGCCCUAUAAGGAUGUUGGAAGAGCCAUCUUCCGAGCACAUGUUGAGGGUCAACUAAAGAUUAUCAUUACACAAACAAAAUGAUGCAGCAUUGUUCACAUAUUUCUUCCUGAUGUGAUGGGUUGGAAGGAUUGAGCUGCCAACCACUGUUCAGUAGUCAAAGCACUAAAAUUUUGAAGUUCAUCGGAAAAAAACGUUGCUAAUGAUGUACCUGUGAUGAUGCAACGUUGAUAUGUUUUUAUGUCAAUUUGGCUUCAGUUAUUUGUUUCUACUGCUGAUCGGCUGUCAUCCAACUAUGUAAUGAACUCUUCUCCUUCAAAUCUUCUGAUUGUGUAAUGUUCAUGGUCUGUUUGGUCUAUUCCAUUUCCAGUUGGAUUCUUGCUGUUGGUUCUAUGUUUGAAGUUGGAAAAACUCAUAUGUAGCUUUUACAGUUUGAUUAACAGUUCUUAAUGAGAAUUGGCAAAUUCUUUUACUAAACAUUUUAUCACUCAUAUUUCUAACGUUGGAGGUUCAUUCUAAUUUGAGAUGGAAAUUAAUGUUAUCAAGAGUUUAAAAUGUGAUGCAAGACAGAAACUAUUAUGAUUUUGUAGAGAAAAUAAGCUUUUAAAUGAAACUAAGCUGUAAAAACAAAGUCAAGGUUAGGUUAAAGGGUUUAAGGGAGUAAAAUUUGGAUUAUGAAGGGUUAGAGAGGUAUGGGUGGAAUUGGUUGAAGGAUUUGAUGGAAGCUAACUCUUAAUUAUGAUGCUGUUAAAAAAAAGUCAAGGAUAAGUUGAAGGAUUUGAAAGAAACUAAAAUGGAAUUAAUUGGAACCGAACUAUUCACUAGAAAUCAAUAUAUUUUUAGGUGUAUUCAGAAUACAAAAGAGUAUG